rnacentral:rRNA from 1 species
GAUGAACGCUGGCGGCGUGCCUAAUACAUGCAAGUCGAGCGAACAGACGAGGAGCUUGCUCCUCUGACGUUAGCGGCGGACGGGUGAGUAACACGUGGAUAACCUACCUAUAAGACUGGGAUAACUUCGGGAAACCGGAGCUAAUACCGGAUAAUAUAUUGAACCGCAUGGUUCAAUAGUGAAAGACGGUUUUGCUGUCACUUAUAGAUGGAUCCGCGCCGCAUUAGCUAGUUGGUAAGGUAACGGCUUACCAAGGCAACGAUGCGUAGCCGACCUGAGAGGGGGAUCGGCCACACGGGAACUGAGACACGGUCCAGACUCCUACGGGAGGCAGCAGUAGGGAAUCGUCCGCAAUGGGCGAAAGCCUGACGGAGCAACGCCGCGUGAGUGAUGAAGGCCUUCGGAUCGUAAAACUCUGUUAUUAGGGAAGAACAAAUGUGUAAGUAACUAUGCACGUCUUGACGGUACCUAAUCAGAAAGCCACGGCUAACUACGUG